GGCUAUCUCCCUCGCGGUGGAGUCCUUAGGAACCAGGUCAGGCGGGAAACCGAGCAGCCUUAACUUUUGGCUUCAGGUGCUUGGGAGGUAGCCUUU
rnacentral:SRP_RNA from 1 species